ensembl:lncRNA
UCUCUCCCGCUCUCUGUAUCAACACACGCGCAUUGGAUCAUGCACCGCCCCGCCGUGCACUCCGCAGUAGCUGUUCCUCCGUGCUACUGGUUCAACUGUCUCGCAUCUCUCCAGCAGCCAGUAUAUCUAAACUCUUUCCUGCUGGAAGUUCGUGCCUCUUUGCCAGUUCUCUCGCUAAAACAGACGUUUCUAACCAAAUGGAUGCAUACGGUUAAAUAUUAACCACCUACCAAGUGUGCAAAUGUUGCUCGUGGAUGGGUUUCCUCCAGUCUGUAGUUCCGAUAGCGCAGAGCCAGUCAUGAUAAGCCAUCGCCAGGGACUGACUUUCCUGCACUCGGAUCAACUCUCCAGGCAGCGUCCAUGCUGAUUUCUACACAGAAGAGGACACACUUCAAACCUGUGGUAUGAUGGUGUGGCAUUCAUUCAUCCUUUGAAAACAAAACCAAUGGUCUACUCUUUCUCUCGGCCAGGAAACCAUAUCUCCAAGCUCCUACGCUAAUGAGAAAAUAAACCAUGCUCUGGAUUAUUCAACAGUGACGUCGAAUGAUAUCCGAUGGGGAGACAUUUGUGCGAAGGAACCAUUAAUAAUGUAUAGAAAAAGUAGAAAAAG